rnacentral:rRNA from 1 species
UAGUGAGUUUGAUCCUGGCUCAGAACGAACGCUGGCGGCAUGCCUAACACAUGCAAGUCGAACGAACCCUUCGGGGGUUAGUGGCGCACGGGUGCGUAACGCGUGGGAACCUGCCUUUUGGUUCGGAAUAACAGUGAGAAAUUACUGCUAAUACCGGAUAAUGUCUUCGGACCAAAGAUUUAUCGCCAUUAGAUGGGCCCGCGUAAGAUUAGCUAGUUGGUGGGGUAAAGGCCUACCAAGCCGACGAUCUUUAGCUGGUCUGAGAGGAUGAUCAGCCACACUGGGACUGAGACCACGGCCCAGACUCCGUACGGGAGGCAGCA